AUUAUUAUGACCCGAUUUUAUUUUGUACGACAUACAUUUGUGUUUCUUUUCCAAAACCCUAGACAGCCUCCAUCUCCAUUCUAGCAACUGAUUAUUUGUUACAUCCAAUCUAUUACAAUCUCAAACCCUAAAUCUCAGUCGAUUAUGACUUCGAAGAUUUCAAGCUGGGCGAUUUCAUAUACUGAUUUCAUCUGCAUCAAUUUCAUAUGGAUCGUGACCAUUUCUUUUGGAUCGUCGGACGGAUGACGGCUUGGGCGAUUCCUGAGGCUGAAGACAACAACUGCAAGAGGCACUCCGGCGGCGCGAUUAGGGUUUCUCUAUGAACCCUAACAGCAGUGGCAGCGGCGCAUUUUAUUUUUGAAGAUUUGAUUUUUUCCAAUGUAUCAAACCGUUUGUGUUCUAAUCCGUCUCUUGCUCUAAUUGUUUAUUUGUUUUUUUAUUUUCUUCAGGUGCAGUCCAAGUUAAGUUUGUGAAAAUUUAGUCAUAAAAUUAAGCAUCAAUUUUGUUAUUAGAUAAGGUAUGUAUUUCGUCUUCAAUUUCGUUUGUAGUCUGACUUUUUGUCGGUUUCUUAAGGUUCUUUUUUUUAAUUUCUAAUCAUAAUUUAUUCGCUGCACAUAUUGAAUUAAUGGCUUUUUGUGUUGAUUUGGUGCUUUUUGGCGCUGCAGUUGCACUUUAAAUUGAUAGGGUUCUGGUACUCGGAGGAACCAAUUAAUGGCAGCUCAAUCCUCAUAUUCUUUUGUUAUUCUGAAAUUUUCUCCAACCAUUUUUUUUUUAUUCCUUAAUAUCUAGCAAUUUCAUUCCAAUCAUCAGGGCAAAUUACAUAAGGAUAGCAGGUACGAGCAACAAACUGCGCCGCCAUCCCUUUUUGGAUCUGAUUUUGGAUCAUGUUUAAGCAGAGAUCUACGUGGAAAUAGAUUAUCUGGUCAAAUUCCAGAUGAGAUUGCUGAUUGCAAGACCCUCAAGAACCUGGAUCUAUCAUUCAAUAUGUUAACCGGAGACAUCCCGUUUUCGGUAUCGAAGUUAAAACAGCUCGAGCUCUUAGUCUUAAAAGACAAUCAAUUAACCAGUCCGAUCCCUACAACGUUAUCACAGAUUCCUAAUUUGAAGAUUUUGGACUUGGCACAAAAUCAGCUAAAUGGCGAAAUCCCGAGGCUUAUAUACUGGAAUGAAUUGUUGCAGUAUCUGAUACUUUACUAUAAUAUUGGAAAUCCACAAUCACUUGGUCAAAAGCCUAUAACUUUCUUUCGAGAGGUUUUUGCAUUAUGUGAUUACCCUGCUUUAUUAGACAAGAGAGAAACAAACAAUUCGUUUAGAUUCCAUAAAACUUGCAUUAUUGAUCUUGUAUCAAAAAUCUUGAAGAGCUGCUGGUGCAUAUAGCCACAGUCAGUCAUCUCUAUAGGUAUUGAGAUGUCAUUGAAGAUGUAUUGAGAAACUUAAUGUCGACAACUUCAACUGUCAAAAUGGACUAUGUUUCACAAAGAUACGCGAAUGGAAAUUCUGGGAAAAAGAUACCGCGCAUCAACAAGAUAGUGCACAUGUUACGUCAUUUCUACGAAGGCAAAAAGUGUUAGUGGAACAACCCAGGCCAACCCGAUCCAGCCUGUUUCAACCAAUAGUACAUAUUUGGGAGGAAAAGGAGCAAAUCCUGCUGAGAUGGCAAGCAUUGGUCUAUCAGUUCCUCCUGGGCUCAUUAUUUCAACUGAAGCAUGUGAUGAAUAUCAACAAAGUAGAAAAAAAACUGCCUCCAGGUUUGUGGGAUGAGAUUUUGGAAGGCUUACAGUUUGUCCAGAAAGAAAUGGGUGCAUAUUUCGGCGACCCGUCUAAGGCUCUCCUCCUUUCGGUCCGUUCAGGCGCUGCGG